GAUGAACGCUGGCGGCGUGCCUAAUACAUGCAAGUCGAGCGAAUGGAUUAAGAGCUUGCUCUUAUGAAGUUAGCGGCGGACGGGUGAGUAACACGUGGGUAACCUGCCCAUAAGACUGGGAUAACUCCGGGAAACCGGGGCUAAUACCGGAUAACAUUUUGAACCGCAUGGUUCGAAAUUGAAAGGCGGCUUCGGCUGUCACUUAUGGAUGGACCCGCGUCGCAUUAGCGAGUUGGUGAGGUAACGGCUCACCAAGGCAACGAUGCGUAGCCGACCUGAGAGGGUGAUCGGCCACACUGGGACUGAGACACGGCCCAGACUCCUACGGGAGGCAGCAGUAGGGAAUCUUCCGCAAUGGACGAAAGUCUGACGGAGCAACGCCGCGUGAGUGAUGAAGGCCUUCGGGUCGUAAAACUCUGUUGUUAGGGAAGAACAAGUGCUAGUUGAAUAAGCUGACACCUUGACGGUACCUAACCAGAAAGCCACGGCUAACAACGUGCCAGCAGCCGCAGUAA
rnacentral:rRNA from 1 species